AGUGAACGCUGGCGGUAGGCCUAACACAUGCAAGUCGAACGGCAGCACAGUAAGAGCUUGCUCUUACGGGUGGCGAGUGGCGGACGGGUGAGGAAUACAUCGGAAUCUACUUUUUCGUGGGGGAUAACGUAGGGAAACUUACGCUAAUACCGCAUACGACCUACGGGUGAAAGCAGGGGAUCUUCGGACCUUGCGCGAUUGAAUGAGCCGAUGUCGGAUUAGCUAGUUGGCGGGGUAAAGGCCCACCAAGGCGACGAUCCGUAGCUGGUCUGAGAGGAUGAGCAGCCACACUGGAACUGAGAAACGGUCCAGACUCCUACGGGAGGCAGCAGUGGGGAAUAUUGGACAAUGGGCGCAAGCCUGAUCCAGCCAUACCGCGUGGGUGAAGAAGGCCUUCGGGUUGUAAAGCCCUUUUGUUGGGAAAGAAAAGCAGCAGGUUAAUACCCCGCUGUUCUGACGGUACCCAAAGAAUAAGCACCGGCUAGCUUCGUG
rnacentral:rRNA from 1 species